ACUGCCCUCUUGCGAUCUGUUUAUAAGCUCUCUCUCCCCUGCUCACGUUGUUGCGCACCUUCCUCUUUAGCUGCGAUCUGUUUCGCUCUCGCUUCUUGCAUGCCACCUCGUCCGCGAAGGAUCUCGUUUCCACGCUACCAGAUUGAGCUCGCUGUCUUCACCCGCUGUUGAUUUGUGCACGGUUCCGUCCGCUUGAGGUCCAUUCUCGUGCAUACAUUCUACGAAUAUGACUACGUAUGAAAGACAGGAUUCGAACGGUUGGGCAGAUCAAUGGGAUAAGAACUUCGAUGAGGAUGCCAAGGGUAGCCAGGGCAGGCGAAAGAGUAGCAAGAUGGCGAAGGUGAAGGCCGCAGCAACUAAUAGUGUAGAAAGGACAAAGAGCGCAGCUUCCGUGAGCGCUCAAAAAGUGAUGUUGGGCACUUCAACUAGUCUACGUUGGAUCAAGGACAAAGUUCAGCGGAAGAAGUAAUUUCUGUAAUAUACUUAAAAUGUGGUUGUCGUGUUAGAGUCACUUUGUUUCGAGCACCAAUCUUUCGGGCAUUAGAGAUGGUGAAAGUGCACGGAUCUUCGUAUGUAUCUCUGCAUUUCUCAUCUAUCCUCUGCUCCUCACCUCGAUUCCCGGGGGAACGGAGGCUAAUUGAUACAGUUUCUGCGGUGUGAUCGCUCCUCCAGUGCUUACACUGCCAUCGUCGAGGAAUAGAGUGAAGAGCUUCUGCGUCAGUUUGCAAGGGCAGGGGACAAACGGCAACUUCUACGCAGAUCUAGCAAACAAUAUGGGUAGCUGGUUUUCGGGGUGGAACAGAUUGAUUGGCACUGACUAGCAGAUUGUUUUUCAUCGCUCCUUGCAAUUUAAGUGCAUGAUCGGCCUACGAGUCAUUCCUUUCUUAAAUAUAGAUACGAACUUCACUGCUGCAGUGCUGGUUCUCAUCAGCUAAUCUGCAGCAUGUUUUUAACAUGCUACAUUUCUCUGCUUCGAAGGCCGAUUUUUGUGGCACUGGUUGGUUUUCAAACUCUGUAAUGUAGAUUAUUUUUUCCAUACAUUUUCAUUGAAGCUUCUAUUAAACUAUGCUUCUUCAAGCUGAGUGUGUGGA